UUUUUUUCCAAACAAAAAAUUGUUUUUUUCACACUAUAAAGUGAUUAAAGAAUCCCUAAUUCUAGAUUCAUAAAUAAAAAUAUGAAUAAAGUUUAUAUGUUUAUUUAUGCUAUGGUUAUCUUUUUUACCAUAUUUAUUUCUAUAACAAACUGUGAUUGGAUUCUCUGCUCAGGGAAUGAAGAUUGUGGAGAUCAUAAGUGUAUCCCUCCUAAAGUUCCAUUAUGCAUGCCUUUUCCCUUUCCCGACCACCAUUUUGGACAGUGUGAAUGUGGUAUCACCAGUGCACAAUGGCCUUUGAAGCCUUUGAAUGUGUGAAGAAGCAGUAAAAGUUACUUCCUCGGUUUUUUAAGUGUUUUUUUGAAAUUAGAAUAAUAACACUAAAUUAAGGAAGUGUCCUUAUCAAGGCCGUUUGUUAUAGCUUAUUUUAGAAAAAAAAUCAUUUUUUUUUAUAAAAAUAAUCACUUUUAAUUGUUUUGUA